rnacentral:tRNA from 1 species
GCUGGUGUGGCUCAUUGGAUAGAGCGUUGGCCUGCGGACCGAAGGGUCUCAGGUUCGAUUCCUGGCCAAGGGCA